rnacentral:rRNA from 1 species
UGGGGAAUCUUGGACAAUGGGGGCAACCCUGAUCCAGCAAUGCCGCGUGUGGGAUGAAGGCCUUCGGGUUGUAAACCACUUUUGGCGGGGGCGAAAUAUCGAGUGCUAAUACCAUUCGGUGAUGACGGUACCCGCAGAAUAAGCACCGGCUAACUACGUGCCAGCAGCCGCGGUAAUACGUAGGGUGCAAGCGUUAAUCGGAAUUACUGGGCGUAAAGCGUGCGCAGGCGGUUAGGUAAGACAGGUGUGAAAUUCCCGGGCUCAACCUGGGAACUGCAUUUGUGACUGCCUGACUAGAGUGCGGCAGAGGGGAGUGGAAUUCCGCGUGUAGCAGUGAAAUGCGUAGAUAUGCGGAGGAACACCGAUGGCGAAGGCAACUCCCUGGGCCUGCACUGACGCUCAUGCACGAAAGCGUGGGGAGCAAACAGGAUUAGAUACCCUGGGUAGUCCACGCCCUAAACGAUGUCGACUAGUUGUUGGACGGGUUCACUGUU